GUGAAUUAUUAAUUUACUUUGUUUUUCCACGGCCAACUCACCUAUUCUAAGCCACAGCCACCUGGCACCUUCAAUUUGAAAUUUAUAAGGCAUAAGCUAUAUGUUCCUCAUAGAAAGAGUAAAAGUUAUAGCCAUAACAAGAUUGGCUUUCAGGUAUGCCAUUUAAAAGCUGUGUAACAGCGUUGGACAAAUUACUUAACAUCUCUGAAACUCAAUUUUCUCUUUUAUUAAAGAAAGAAAAUCAGCAACAAAACUGUGCAGGAUUGUAGUGAGUGAAUAUAAAGUAUGUGAUAUCUGGAACAUAAAAGUUCUCAGUAAAUCACGAUUAAUAAACACUAACAAAUAAUGAUCAGCCCAAACCAACAGAUCCUCUCCUUUGGCUGUAAGGAAAUAUGACUCAAGCAGCUCUUUCCUUCCAAUCCGCCUUCCCACUUUCACAGGCCACACUGCAGCGAGCAUCUAGAAGGCUCUCUGCCAACAGCAGCGCCGGUUCGUUAUCUAACUGAGUCUUGGUCAUUAAGCAAAGUCAGGGUCUUUGUUACUUGGUUUCAUCCCCACUGGCCUUGCAGAGAAAGCCCAAGCCACAGGGUACGUCUCCGCCUGCCAAUGCCCUGUAUUCCUGAAACAAAAAGGCAAUAAAAAACACGACAGUUAGUGUCAGACGCGGAGCCCCGGUUUGGGAGUGGGCGGGGAGGGCUCCCUUUUCUCCUUGUUCCGCAGCACCUGUCACGGAGACGGGAGAUGGGGCCCGGCCCGGCCUGGGCAGCGCGGCUUCCUCCUGCCCCCGCCGCGCUCCCUCCCGAGCGGCUCGGGUCCGGGCUCCCAGCAACGCGGCGGUGCGGCCGGCGCUGCGACUAGAAAGCGCCCAUUGAGGGCUUGCAGCUGCCAGUGCCGCUUGCCCAAAUCCGACAUAAAGCCUGGACUUCAGCUCCAGUGAAGAAGACACUACUGUGUUCUUCCUGAGCCCCAGUCACGGCUAUAAAACAUUAAAAGCAAACUGGCGAUUGUUAAACACUGCAUUUGUUUACACCCCGAUUCUUGAAUCACAAUGGGGCAGCUUAGGCCGCCAAGGCCCGGCGAGGCCCGGCUUUCUCCUGGACACUGGAGUCUGUUCUCCGACCCAAGGGACACAAGAAAAAAUUUUACUAUUGUUGCCCAGGCUGGAGUACAGUGACAUGAUCUUGGCUCACUGCAACCUCUGCCUCCCAGUUCAAGCAAAUCUCCUGCCUCAACCUCGCAAGUAG
rnacentral:lncRNA from 1 species